rnacentral:rRNA from 1 species
UUGGGGGAUCUCGGGUAAUCGUGUCCAUCAUUAUGUCCAUACCAACCCCUGUGCAUUGUGAUGACGAAUGUCAUCGAACAAAAAAAACUCGUAUGGUUGAAUGUACGUGAAAUUGUAGGUAUAGCCUACGAACUAUACACAACUUUCGACAACGGAUCUCUUGGUUCUCCCAUCGAUGAAGAACGCAGCGAAACGCGAUAGGUAAUGUGAAUUGCAGAAUUCCGUGAAUCAUCGAAUCUUUGAACGCACCUUGCGCUCCAUGGUAUUCCGUGGAGCAUGCCUGUUUGAGUGCCGCGAAUUCUCCCUCCCCUUACGGUGGCCGAAAGGCCGAAGUAGGGCGGACGGGGUAGGAUGGGUGUUGCUGCCUGGGGAUUGUACCAGGCUCGCCCGAAAUGCAUAAGCGCCAGGACCCUCGCUACCGCUCUCUAGGGAAGAGUGGCUAAGCGACCGCUGAGCAUGGCAUGAUACGUCAUUUGCUGUGUGUGGGCGGCCGGUUGGAGAGGUGUCUGCUUUACCAGCCCUUUUUUAAUUCUGUCUCAAAUCA